rnacentral:misc_RNA from 1 species
CUGAUGCACAAGAGAGGAGGAAUGAAGGAGAUCAUAAACUUGAUGGGUUAAAAAAUUCGAGAAGUUAUUCAUCAACAUCAACUAAUGUGUCUAGGUGGAAGUCCAUUCUUAAUUCUAUAGCAAAACAGGUUUCGCAGGUACCUCUCUCUUUGUCAAUAAGAGUUGCAUCCCUUCGUGGAACACUGCGUUUGCAUGUAAAGCCACCUCCUUCUGAUCAGUUAUGGUAUGGAUUCACAUCUAUGCCUGAUAUAGAUUUCGACUUGGAGUCAUCCGUUGGGGAUCACAAGAUUACUAGUACACAUAUUGCUUUGUUCUUGAUCAAACUUGUGCUGUGCAGGCUUCCAUCAGAGAAACUAUGGUGCUUCCAAACUGUGAAAGCUUAUGCAUUCCCUGGUUGUUGGCUGAAAAGAAUGACUGGGUACCGCGGACAGUUGCUCCUUUUAUGUGGCUUAAUAGAGAAGCCACUAGUGACCAUGCCACUGCAUGUGAGGCUCCUGUCUCCCAACCCGAUGAAGCAAAACCCAAGGAAGAUUCUCACAGGAAAGCAUCCAAUUAUGAUCCAGAAAGCAAGCAUUUAAAAACAAAGAACACUGAAUGCACUCAGCAAUCAAUUUCUGAUUCUUCUAAUACCUUAGAGAGCUCAAUGAGCUCCAACAAGUCAUCAAUACAAAGCAGCAAAACUUUGCAAGAACUAACAAGUCCUUUAUUGGCAACUUAUGAACCACAAGGCAUUUCCCAACAAAGUAGAGGUUGUAUGUCAGAGCGUCGAUCACUAUCUAGGUCUGUUACACAGGCAGAGAACCAGAAUCAUGCUGUUGAAGGAGAUGAAUCAAGAACGAAGAGGAUGGGAAGAAGAGCAAGGAUGCUGGAUCUGGGGAAGAAGAUGGGAGACAAGCUUGAAGAGAAGAGACGUCACAUUGAAGAAAAGGGCAAGAGCAUUGUUGAGAAGAUGCGUGGACCAUGAAACUGCCAAAAGGAGUGCUUGGACAUAAGCAGAACUGGUAGCUAAUGCCAUUGACAGAUACAGGAGUGGAGGCACUCAUCAAAUUCAAUAGAUGAUCAUGUAUAAUAUUAUAGGUGCUAAACUUCUUUUUGAUUUAGAAUUGGCAA